CACGGGGGAGCAAGCGUUGUUCGGAAUCACUGGCGUAAAGGCGUGUAGGCGGUUCGGUAAGUGGAAUGUGAAAUCCCUCGGCUCACCCGAGGACCUGCAUCCCAAACUGCCGAGCUUGAGUAUGGAGAGGAUGAGGAAUCCUGUGUAGCGGUGAAAUGCGUAGAUAUCAGGAGGAACACCGGUGCGAAGGCGCUCAUCUGGCCCAAUACUGACGCUGAUGCGCGAAGCUAGGGAGCAACGG
rnacentral:rRNA from 1 species